UAGAGUUUGAUCCUGGCUCAGAGCGAACGCUGGCGGCAGGCCUAACACAUGCAAGUCGAGCGCCCGUAGCAAUACGGGAGCGGCAGACGGGUGAGUAACGCGUGGGAACGUGCCCUUUAGUUCGGAAUAACUCAGGGAAACUUGAGCUAAUACCGAAUACGCCCUUCGGGGGAAAGAUUUAUCGCCAUUGGAGCGGCCCGCGUUGGAUUAGGUAGUUGGUGAGGUAAAGGCUCACCAAGCCUACGAUCCAUAGCUGGUCUGAGAGGAUGAUCAGCCACACUGGGACUGAGACACGGCCCAGACUCCUACGGGAGGCAGCAGUAGGGAAUCUUGCGCAAUGGGCGAAAGCCUGACGCAGCCAUGCCGCGUGAAUGAUGAAGGUCUUAGGAUUGUAAAAUUCUUUCACCGGGGAAGAUAAUGACGGUACCCGGAGAAGAAGCCCCGGCUAACUUCGUGCCAGCAGCCGCGGUAA
rnacentral:rRNA from 1 species